CCACAGCUAUAGGCAGUUGGUGAUUGGCAGCUUCAACAACACAGUGAGCCCACUCACGUCUUCUGUAGAGUUUUUUUUUUGAAAUGUCAAAUGACCCAGGUGACUCAGACUGCUACAGCCAAGUUUUUGGCAUUCUGCAACUUCUGGUUUUUCCCCAAACUGAAAUUACCUUUGAAAGGGAGGAGAUUUCAGGCCGUUGAUGAGAUUCAGGAAAGUAUGAUUCGGCAGCUGAUGGCAAUUGGGAGAACUGUGUGAGGUCCCAAGGUGCCUACUUUGAAGGGGACUGAGGCAUAAUUGUCCUAUGUACAGUGUUUCUCGUAUCUUGUGCCUUUUUCAAUAAAUGUCUCUAUUUUUCACACUACAUGUCUGGAUACUUUCUUGACAGACCUUGUAUA